rnacentral:piRNA from 1 species
GUCCGUAUUCUCCUUAGAGGAAAUGAGGC